AUUGAACGCUGGCGGCAUGCUUUACACAUGCAAGUCGAACGGUAACAGGGUGCUUGCACCGCUGACGAGUGGCGAACGGGUGAGUAAUGCGUCGGAACGUGCCGAGUAGUGGGGGAUAACGCAGCGAAAGUUGUGCUAAUACCGCAUACGUACUGAGGUAGAAAGUGGGGGACCUUCGGGCCUCACGCUAUUCGAGCGGCCGACGUCUGAUUAGCUAGUAGGUGAGGUAAAGGCUCACCUAGGCGACGAUCAGUAGCGGGUCUGAGAGGAUGAUCCGCCACACUGGGACUGAGACACGGCCCAGACUCCUACGGGAGGCAGCAGUGGGGAAUUUUGGGCAAUGGGCGAAAGCCUGAUCCAGCCAUGCCGCGUGUCUGAAGAAGGCCUUCGGGUUGUAAAGGACUUUUGUCAGGGAGGAAAUCCCUAGUGCUAAUAACACUGGGGGAUGACAGUACCUGAAGAAUAAGCACCGGCUAACUACGUGCCAGCAGCCGCAGUAAAAC
rnacentral:rRNA from 1 species